ACUAUCAUGUGAUGAAACCUUGAAACAAUCUUAGGACACCUUCUGACACAGUGCUGUUAUACUGUGAAUGAGAAGUCUUUAUUUUCUGAUGAUGCU
rfam:Triticum aestivum genome assembly, contig: Triticum_aestivum_CS42_TGACv1_scaffold_486886_6AS